rnacentral:rRNA from 1 species
UACGUAGGAGACGAGCGUUGUCCGGAAUUACUGGGCGUAAAGCGCGUGUAGGCGGAUGGGCAAGUCUGCUGUGAAAGCUCCUGGCUUAACCGGGAGUGGUCGGUGGAAACUGCCCGUCUGGAGGACGGUAGAGGUAGGUAGAAUUCCCGGUGUAGUGGUGAAAUGCGUAGAGAUCGGGAGGAAUACCUGUGGCGAAGGCGGUUUACUGGGCCGGACCUGACGCUGAGACGCGAAGGCGUGGGGAGCGAACGGG